CCAGGGUUGGUGACUCCACCACCUCCCCGAGCAGCCAUUCCAGUGCCUGACCACUCUUUCAGGCAAGAAAUUUUUCCUAACAUCCAACCUGAAUUCCCCAAGAGGAGCUGCUCUCAUGUCCACAUUGCCACUGGCCAACUGCCCCACUGCUCUUCAUCACCUCUUGGCAAAUGAGGGCUCCUUGGCUGCAUAACCAACGCCAAGCCCCUAGCACCCCUUGCUGCCUGUCCUGCCUGCCAUUGCUUAUGGGCAGGGGGAGAUUUGCUGUUUGGAUUCCCAUCCCUUAGGUUUGAGUUCAGCAGCUUCACGGGCACGUGGGGCUCCAAGGAACAGCUCUUAACUCACAGACACAGCUCCACGUGGAGCUGCAGUAGGAGCUUUCACUUUUCUUCCAGCAGCGAACUGAAAUUAAAAGCAGAUGUGGACAAUGGCACUGUCUCAGGGGAAUGAAGGAUAUUGUUUUACCGGUGUGACAUCUGGUGAGACUAGAUCAUAGCCCAACAUGUGCUGAGCUAGUCCUGCUUUCUAGGUCCUCCGCAAUGGAUUUGCCCCAUCGGUUAUGUGUGUGGGCUCAGGUUUAACUACAUCAUCACGUUUGCCCACCUCACAGGGGAGACGUGGUGCUUCCUGAGCACAUCUUUUCCAUUGCCCCAUGCUCUUGGCUGUGUGUCUUGGAAAGCCCUGAUUUCUGUGUGCGUGGUGAGGAUUUGUGGGGAGCAGCACCGGAUGCUGCCCUAAUGGCAGAAUAGGACCAGGACACCUGAAUAUCCCCAGUUUUAUUCUCCCAAUUCCCCCUGUGACCUUUGGUAAGUAACUUAACCUGUUGUCCUCAGGAUCCCCAGUAAAAUGGGAGACCUUAAUACUUAUCUGGUGGGAUAACAGUGCUUAAUUCUUACCUAAUUGGAUGACAAUACUUACCUACAUACCUCACAGGGGUGUUGUGAGGAUUAAUUAGCUAAUGUUUGUAAAGUGCUUUGGAGAUGGAAAGCAGUAUAUAGUCGUGCUAAGCGCUAUUACUGCAUGCCAGCACCGAGACCUUAAAAUGGCUACAGGCGGAAUAAGAGUUUUUAUAUGUUUUGAAAUAAGCCAAUUGUUCAAGGCAUCCGGAUGCUGGAAGUAUUUUUAGGCGGAGAUUUCCAAGAAAGUUGGGAAACAGAAGGGUAUAAUUAUAUGAUCUGAAACCUUUUUUGUUUCUUUUCGAGGACCGACUAAACAUAAUCUGAGUUAGGUGUCAUUUGAUGAAUGUUAAAACUGCUUCUUGGGGUCUAAGAUGUAUCAGCGUUUACUCUUGCUGAUCAAACAGUAUUGCUUGAGAGAAAUAUCUCUGUUACAAUUUGGACAAACAAAUAUAUUAAAUAAGCCAGAGGAAGUAUUUAUUUCUGUGUUCUUUCUGUAUUUCUUUCUGUAAGCAGCUUUUUUUAUUGGCAUAAUUCUGCUCUUGUUCCCAUUAGGGUAACUGAAAGGUAACACCACUGCAGUAAAUGGAAUUACACUAGAUACAAAAGCAUUAUGUGAGAGCAAAAUUAUAUUUAUAUGUGGUCUGAAAUGCAACUUGACGCUUGGAUUUAAAGAAAAAUCAAACCAACCGUUCCUAGAAAUAUGUGGAAAUGCAACUUUUUUUUUUUUUCUUGCUAGGACAAACAAAAACCGCCCAGCUCUUUGUUGAAUACCGCUUGUUUUGUGGCAGCUCCAAAACAGAUCUUGCAAAAGGCAGGUCUGGUAUACUAUAGAUGACAUUUUUUUCUUUCACAGGAGGAAACUUUGCAAGAUUUUUUUUGCCUUUAAAUAUUUUAUUUGGUUCCUAAUGUGCACUCUUGGUCCAAGAAAGCAACUUUAUAGAUAUCAAAGCUCCCAUUUGUAUUUUUUUGCAAGAGCGUUUCUUCAGAUCUUUUACUCUCCAGUGUUAGAGAGAAUUCCCACAAAUUCCUGAAAUCUGUUAAAAUACAGAGCUGAGUGCUCACGUUGGUAUGCUGUGCAUUGGCUCUCUCCGUUAAAAAGGCUGUGCAUUUUCAUUCUGGAUACACGAAAGAAAUUUGAUAUACUGCUGGGCUAAGUACCAGGAUUUGGUUGGCUCUACAGCCAAUUCUUACAUUUCUGUGUUGGGCAAAUGUAAGAAUGGAUAAAAUUUAAUGUAAAACCAACCCCAAGGCCUUUCUUAUGGAGAUCAGGUUAUUUGCAAUCUACUGGAGACCAUUCCCCACAAUCAGGAGAGGCAAGGAAAAUGGCAUCAAAGGCCUCAAGAGAAGAACUUAACCAACCCCAAGCAAGCUGCAUGUUUCCCAGCUGCCAGAACAGCCACAGAGACCUGGGGGAAAGCUGGCCAGAAAGUUAGGUGCCAUUUCUGGGAAGAGGAUCUCCCAGAUUAACCAGCACUUGGCCCUUCAGCUGCCAUGUGGUUCUAAUGCGGGCCAAUCGGCACUGAGUCCAGCCCUGGCCCAAGGGGAAGGAUGACAUGAAGUAUAACCCAUGCUGUCAGUGGUGGGCUAAUGUGCAUCAUCCGUGCAUGCGGAUACAAUAGCUGUCAAGAGCUUUGCAGUUGGCUGUCCUAAGGAGGAUCUGAGGGGGAGAAUGAGGUGUAUGGCAAGAAGACCUAGUGUUUAGGGCACUAAGCAUCUAGGCAGCCAAAUUUGCAGGCUUAGAAGCUCAUUAGUUUGGUGGAGGUACAGUUCCUUACCAACCCCUUGGUGCACAACUGUAACAUUUCCCAGGACGGGAACAACUGACAAAGUGGAUCACCACAGCUGGUGUGCAAACCCCAUGAGGUGAAACUGCCUGGAAACGGGGCACCUCACAUGGCCCUGCCCAGCCUGAUGCACCCACCAUGUCGUAAUGACACGCAAUGGAGCAAGAUGGGACAGCAAGUUUGGCUCACACACUGCACUGAGUGAGGGGAGUGCUUUUCCCAUUAUCCCUGCUCUUGGUGCACCUGGGAGAUGGAAAGAACCUUCAGCAGCUGGUGACUUUGCACACCUGCAUUCAAUCUUCUCUCCCACUUACUCAAAUCAGCUCCAUCUGACGGCGUGGCUUUUGGUUGCACUCUAACAAGUGCUUAGUUAAAUGGCAACUUCUAUUUUUAAACAAGCUCCAGCUAUUAAUGUUAUUCUGGAGGUGGACAAGAAAUACAGCACUACUGGGCAGGAGGGAGUUGUGUCGACACCCAGGCACUGGAGCAGCCAAAAAGACAGGGGCACCUUGAAGGAUGUAUCCUACAGGGAUAAGCCCUCACCAGACAGCCCCAGCCUAGAGAAAGGAGGUAGGAGCUGGACUGGGAGCACUGGGAAAGGCAAAGGAGUGCGUAGGACACCGGAACCACUCUACAAAGAUUGUCAGUGUCUGAAUUUCAUCGCAAUCUGUUCGGCUGUUUGUUGCAGGCAGGCGUAAAACAGAGUGGGUGUAGGACAACAGAAGGUACCAAGCUGGUGAUGACAUAACAGAAGGAUGCUGAGUUGGUUGAGCACGAUUUCCCCUUGGUGAAUCCAUGUUGACUACUGAUGACCUCCUUCACUGGGUUAUAUCCUGGGCUGCUUGUGGGCAGCACUCCGUCCUGUGUCAUCAUCCUCACCCCUGAGUCAUGUGAAAGACAAGAUGGUGACUCAAAUAAGUGCUUCCCAGCACAGCUUUCCCCAACAGCUGCAUUAAAAGGAGUUGCUCGAUGUGGAACAGGUGGCUCGUGGUGCAGGUCACUGGCCAUGAAUGCCGUGCACAGGGCUGACGCUGGCAUUUAAAGGUCAAUCUUUGCCGCUGCUCGGCACCUUCCCAGCAGCAGGUGACCCACGGGCCCCUCUCACCCCACGAAGAAGCCCCGCCGCACCUUUGGGAAGCUGUUUGCAGCAGGACGAGGCGCGAUCACAGCUUGGCUGAAGGGUGUCACAUUCCCCGUGCUGCAGACACGAGGACCAGCGGUGGAAUAUUCGAUUACAUGUCAGUCACAGCACAUUAGGCAAUCUUCCAGUCUGCCAGCUUUGCCCUUCCUGGCUCUGAGCAAAGUGUCACUGGGAAAGAAGUGGCACAGCGAGGCAAGGAGGUGAUGCUAGGGAGCUUCUGUCCCCAUGAGAAAUGUCCCAUAGGAGCCCUUCAGUGGGGCUACAGAUAGGGCACGGUGGUUUAUGCCUGGUGAACUGGUGAAUGCAAACCAGUACUGCUCACCUUUAUCCUUAGCUCUAAAGGUAUAAAUGUCUGCAAAAGCAGCAGAUGAUGCAGUGAGGAACUGGGGAACUGCCAUUCCAGUGGUAGUACCGAAAAUACUCUGCUCUUUCAAACACGGUGGCUAUAAAAACAUGUUCUGACCGAGCAUUUUCUGGGCUGUUCUGCUUGCAAAUUACUUAACAAAAAUAUGUUAGAAGUGGAAGUUAAGAGCUGUGGACAAUUUCCUACUUUGUAUAAGCCAGAAAAAUCCCAUCUCAGCUCCAAGAAGGAAACUACUUUCCAAAAUGUCAGCUCAUGCAGAAAGUCCCAGUUCGGCUGGAACGAGCCGCUCCGUUUGCGCUCGGUGGUUUCUGGAACAACAAAAAGCCGCGUAUGUCCGUGCUGGGAAGCACAGGCACUGAAGGAUAAUGUGGGUAGAUUAUUCCCGUUGGCACCAGGGGCUUAUUAUGGCUUUUGUUAAGCAUCCUCCACCUAUUAGCCACAGCCACAGGAGAAGGGAAUGGUGGUGUUCCCGUUUCGCUGCUUCUGCAGUUGAGCUGCACCUCCUGUUCGGAGACUUUCAAAGUGAAUUUUAAAUCAAAGGAGACAACGCUGCUGUUACUGGUUGGGACGUCCAUAAGAAGAACUUCAGCUUUGUCUACUUUGAUUUCAGAUUCACUUUGAUUGUUUUUCUGACAGGAGGUGUGUAGGCAUCACAAGGCAGCACCAUCGCCAUUAGCUUUUCGAGUGAUCAUCGCUAUUUAGCUGGGGAGACAAUAAGAGUGGGGUGGGAGUCAAUGGAAAUAACCUUUCCGAUGCUUCCAAAGCUUCAAACCUGUCCUCAGGCUCCCAAACUCUGAGAAAUACUUAGAGGGAGAGACUGCCUGCGGAGUGGGGAGUAUGGGGGUGAUGGAUGAAACAAUAAAAAUGACACCAUGGUAAAAGUGAGCAUGGGACACUGCCGCUUGCAGUGCCUUGUGCACGUGGUGGAUGUCAGACCCGCUGCUGUGUUGGGGCUGCAGCAUGAGACCCACACGUGGCAGGAUGGCUGGACCAAGGCUGGCGAGCCCAUGAAGGCGAGGGAGGCCAUGAGGAUCAAGGGCAGCCCUCGGCAGUAGGGUGUGGUGGGAAAGGAAUGAGUCCAUUUUCGGUAGCACCUGGGAGAAUUACUGUUUCCCCCCUAUAUCACCCUCUCCUCCUUGACCAUGUUUGAAAAGGGCAUUUCAGCGCCGACGGCAGUGUUGUUGCAGACAGAAGGACCCGGCUGAGAGCAGCCGGUGAUGUGUGCCUUACUUUUAAAAAGAAAGAUGUGUCUUGACAGCUUGCCAAAUACCACAUCUGCCUCUCUUUGCACCUCUGCGGGUGAAGCUGUACAGCAAGGUGGUGAAGACGGGCAGACCUAUCAAUUAACUGUGUGAGGGCCGCACUCUCUCCUUUGCUGCCCAGCAGCUGUAGGCAAUGCUGGAAGAACGACCUCCCUGAUGUACAUCUGGAACACCUGUGGGAGAUGCACAGCUGGGACUUCCCUGCAGUGACUGAGGAGCACCACACGCUGCCAGCUCAGGAGGACUUGGAGAAGUGAGGAGCACACGUGCAGGAAACAAAUUCUGUAAGAAGUCUGCAUGGACAUACAGAUUGAAUUCUGCAAAUAAGCUGGAGAGAGAUCCCUCUCCAUCUACUCUCCGUGUGCUUCGACGAAAGAAGUGAGCUGCCAAGAGUAAACUUCCAGGAGGCAAAAGGCAAGCAAAAACAACAAAAAGACAGGAUCAUGGAUCACGGAAGCUCCUACUGUAUCUGAUGUACUUACUUAUCGCCUCCACAAACUGUUCAAAGAAGCAGUAUGGGAACAGCGGCUCAGGCAGCUCUCUGAAAAACAUCUUGAGUGCUCCGGUGACAACGUGGAUGUCCUCCCAC